rnacentral:rRNA from 1 species
GACGAACGCUGGCGGCGUGCUUAACACAUGCAAGUCGAACGGAAAGGCCCGGCUUUUGCGGGGUUCUCGAGUGGCGAACGGGUGAGUAACACGUGAGUAUCCCGCCCUUGACUUUGGGAGAACUUCAGGAAACUGGGGCUAAUACCGGAUAGGAGCUCCUGCAGCAUGGUGGGGGUUGGAAAGUUUCGGCGGUUGGGGAUGGACUCGCGGCUUAUCAGCUUGUUGGGGGGGUAGUGGCUUACCAAGGGUUUGACGGGUAGCCGGCCUGAGAGGGGGACCGGCGACAUUGGGACUGCGAUACGGCCCAGACGCCAACGGGAGGCAGCAGUGGGGAAUAUUGCACAAUGGGCGGAAGCGUGAUGCAGCAACGCCGCGUGCGGGAUGACGGCCUUCGGGUUGUAAACCGCUUUCGCCUGUGACGAGGCGUGAGUGACGGUAAUGGGUAAAGAAGCACCGGCUAACUACGUG